UACAGAGGGUGCGAGCGUUAAUCGGAAUUACUGGGCGUAAAGCGCGUGUAGGCGGCUAAGUAAGUCGGGCGUGAAAUCCCACGGCUCAACCGUGGAAGUGCACUCGAAACUGCAUAGCUAGAGUCCUGGAGAGGAAGGUGGAAUGCUUGGUGUAGAGGUGAAAUUCGUAGAUAUCAAGCGGAACACCGGUGGCGAAGGCGGCCUUCUGGACAGUGACUGACGCUGAGACGCGAAAGCGUGGGGGAGCAAACAGG
rnacentral:rRNA from 1 species